rnacentral:rRNA from 1 species
UAUUUUGACCGUGCGAAGGUAGCGUAAUCACUUGUCUUUUAAAUAGAGACCUGUAUGAAUGGCAUAACGAGGGCUAAGCUGUCUCCUUUCCCCAGUCAAUGAAAUUGAUCUGCCCGUGCAGAAGCGGGCAUAACAACAUAAGACGAGAAGACCCUAUGGAGCUUAAGACAUCCGAACAAUUCGUGUUAAGAUUCUUAAAUUACCAAGAAGAAACCAAAUGACCAUUGUUCCCCUGUCUUUGGUUGGGGCGACCGCGGAGUAAUAAAAAACCCCCACGUGGAAUAGGAUAAAACCCUAAAGCCAGAGCCACAGCUCUAACAAACAGAAUAUCUGACCAAAAAGAUCCGGCAACGCCGAUCAACGGACCCAGUUACCCUAGGGAUAACAGCGCAAUCCCCUUCUAGAGCCCAUAUCGACAAGGGGGUUUACGACCUCGAUGUUGGAUCAGGACUUCCUAAUGGUGCAGCCGCUAUUAAGG